CUCGCCAGGCUUAACUCAAUAACCACAACACCGGAAAAGGAAGCAAAGGUCGAAGUUCAUCCGCGGCCCUGAGGCCUGUGGGAAACGUAGUCCAACAACGAAAGAGCCCUGAAGCUCAAGCGGAGCCCGCUGGCCGCAGGGGCCGCACCACGCCCCAGACCCUGGAGUUUCCGGGUGCGCAGACCCUUGCCAUCAGCAGAGGCUGCCGCUGCGCGUCCCCUAGGCGCGGAAGAGGCGGCUGGUGGUCCCUGACGGCAAGGUGAAGUCGAGGCAGUAAUCGGGAACCCAGGUUUUAUACAUUACGAAUAAAGCUGGCACGUUUCCAUUUCUCCUGGGCAAAUAUUUAGAAGAAAAGUUGCUGGGUAAUUGAAGCACUGAGACCACAGAGGCAAGAGCUGGGGAAGGAAAACUGCCCAUGAGAUGAGAUGUGCCUCUCAGCUUCCAAAAUCGGGGAGGGUUGCAAAGGGAUGACACCAUCCACACCAGAACUGCAUGAAUGGCAUCAGGAAUGAUCAGAGACCAUAAAUUCCAGUGAGACCAAUAACACCAUUUCUGGUCCUGCAUGCUCUUCCAAACUUUGCCACUAACCCCUUCAAGAGAUGCCCCCCAUGGAAUCCAGCCAUCAUGCUGUGAGGAAUCCAAGCAGCUACAUAGAAAGGCCACAACUAGAUAUUCCAGCUGUAGUCAGCUGAAGCUCCAGCCAACAGCCAACAUCAACCACCACACGUGAAAACGAGCAAGCCUUCAGAUGAUUCCGACUCCCAACCUCCAAGCCACCUCAGCUGAAGCCAAGUAGAGCAGAGACUAGCUGUCCCCCAAUGCUCUAAUAUGCAGAUUCAUAAUUAAAAAGAAUGUUAUUGUUCUAAGCCAUGAAGUUUUGGGGUGGUUUGUCAUGCAGCAACUGGAACUGCC
rnacentral:lncRNA from 10 species